UAGGGAAUCUUCGGCAAUGGACGGAAGUCUGACCGAGCAACGCCGCGUGAGUGAAGAAGGUUUUCGGAUCGUAAAGCUCUGUUGUAAGAGAAGAACGAGUGUGAGAGUGGAAAGUUCACACUGUGACGGUAUCUUACCAGAAAGGGACGGCUAACUACGUGCCAGCAGCCGCGGUAAUACGUAGGUCCCGAGCGUUGUCCGGAUUUAUUGGGCGUAAAGCGAGCGCAGGCGGUUAGAUAAGUCUGAAGUUAAAGGCUGUGGCUUAACCAUAGUACGCUUUGGAAACUGUUUAACUUGAGUGCAAGAGGGGAGAGUGGAAUUCCAUGUGUAGCGGUGAAAUGCGUAGAUAUAUGGAGGAACACCGGUGGCGAAAGCGGCUCUCUGGCUUGUAACUGACGCUGAGGCUCGAAAGCGUGGGGAGCAAACAGGAUUAGAUACCCUGGUAGUCCACGCCGUAAACGAUAAGUGCUAGGUGUUAGACCCUUUCCGGGGUUUAGUGCCGCAGCUAACGCAUUAAGCACUCCGCCUGGGGAGUACGACCGCAAGGUUG
rnacentral:rRNA from 1 species